AGAGUUUGAUCCUGGCUCAGGAUGAACGCUGGCGGCAUGCCUAAUACAUGCAAGUCGAACGAGAGGAAGGAAAGCUUGCUUUUCUGAAUCUAGUGGCGAACGGGUGAGUAACACGUAGGUAACCUGCCCAUGUGCCCGGGAUAACUUCUGGAAACGGAUGCUAAAACCGGAUAGGUAGCAGACAAGCAUUUGACUGCUAUUAAAGUGGCCUUGGCCAUGAACAUGGAUGGACCUGCGGUGCAUUAGCUGGUUGGUGAGGUAACGGCCCACCAAGGCGACGAUGCAUAGCCGGCCUGAGAGGGCGGACGGCCACAUUGGGACUGAGACACGGCCCAAACUCCUACGGGAGGCAGCAGUAGGGAAUCUUCCACAAUGGACGCAAGUCUGAUGGAGCAACGCCGCGUGAGUGAAGAAGGUCUUCGGAUCGUAAAACUCUGUUGUUAGAGAAGAACACGAGUGAGAGUAACUGUUCAUUCGAUGACGGUAUCUAACCAGCAAGUCACGGCUAACUACGUGCCAGCAGCCGCGGUAAUACGUAGGUGGCAAGCGUUGUCCGGAUUUAUUGGGCGUAAAGGGAACGCAGGCGGUCUUUUAAGUCUGAUGUGAAAGCCUUCGGCUUAACCGGAGUAGUGCAUUGGAAACUGGAAGACUUGAGUGCAGAAGAGGAGAGUGGAACUCCAUGUGUAGCGGUGAAAUGCGUAGAUAUAUGGAAGAACACCAGUGGCGAAAGCGGCUCUCUGGUCUGUAACUGACGCUGAGGUUCGAAAGCGUGGGUAGCAAACAGGAUUAGAUACCCUGGUAGUCCACGCCGUAAACGAUGAAUGCUAGGUGUUGGAGGGUUUCCGCCCUUCAGUGCCGCAGCUAACGCAAUAAGCAUUCCGCCUGGGGAGUACGACCGCAAGGUUGAAACUCAAAGGAAUUGACGGGGGCCCGCACAAGCGGUGGAGCAUGU
rnacentral:rRNA from 1 species